ensembl:snRNA U4 U4 spliceosomal RNA
AGCUUUACGCAGUGGCAGUAUUGUAGCCAAUGAGGUUUAUCUGAUAUGAUUAUUGCUUAUUAAGAACUUUUUUCAAUACCGCACCAUGAUGACCUGAAAUAUAGUCGGCGUUGGCCAUUUUUGGCAGUCUCUACAGGGA